rnacentral:rRNA from 1 species
GUCAUAUGCUUGUCUCAAAGAUUAAGCCAUGCAUGUCUCAGUACAAGCCAAAUUAAGGUGAAACCGCGAAAGGCUCAUUAAAUCAGUUAUGGUUCCUUAGAUCGUACCCACAAUUACUUGGAUAACUGUGGUAAUUCUAGAGCUAAUACAUGCAAACAGAGCUCCGACCGGAGACGGAAGGAGCGCUUUUAUUAGAUCAAAACCAAUCGGUGGCGGGUUCGCUCGUCAUCGUACAACUUGGUGACUCUGAAUAACUUUACGCUGAUCGCACGGUCAUCGCACCGGCGACGCAUCUUUCAAAUGUCUGCCUUAUCAACUGUCGAUGGUAGGUUCUGCGCCUACCAUGGUUGUAACGGGUAACGGGGAAUCAGGGUUCGAUUCCGGAGAGGGAGCCUGAGAAACGGCUACCACAUCCAAGGAAGGCAGCAGGCGCGCAAAUUACCCACUCCCGGCACGGGGAGGUAGUGACGAAAAAUAACGAUACGGGACUCAUCCGAGGCCCCGUAAUCGGAAUGAGUACACUCUAAACCCUUUAACGAGGAUCAAUUGGAGGGCAAGUCUGGUGCCAGCAGCCGCGGUAAUUCCAGCUCCAAUAGCGUAUAUUAAAGUUGUUGCGGUUAAAAAGCUCGUAGUCGAAUUUGUGUCUCGCGCCGCCGGUUCAUCGUCCGCGGUGUUAACUGGCGAGUCGCGAGACGUCCUGCCGGUGGGCUUAGCUCGCGAGGGCGGCCCAACUCAAUCCUGCCGCGGUGCUCUUCAUUGAGUGUCGAGGUGGGCCGGCACGUUUACUUUGAACAAAUUAGAGUGCUUAAAGCAGGCUAAAACUUCGCCUGAAUACUGUGUGCAUGGAAUAAUAGAAUAUGACCUCGGUUCUAUUUUGUCGGUUUUCGGAACCCCGAGGUAAUGAUUAAUAGGAACGGAUGGGGGCAUUCGUAUUGCGACGUUAGAGGUGAAAUUCUUGGAUCGUCGC